GAUAAGUGUUUUGACUUACAAGGAAUAUUGGCAGUGGACAAUAUUAUUUUUAAACCAUUAUUAAAUAGAGAAUAAUACAUGGGUACGCGGAAAUACCAGAUUUAUUUCGAAUGUUGAACAUGAUAUCGGGGAACUUAAAGGGGCAGUGUCACAGCGCUGAUUGGCUAAAAUAAAUGGCGCAAAGAAAAGUUUAAAAUUAAUGCUACAUGAUUGGAAAAUAUGCAGCAGCCUUCAAUUUUAAAACAAAGCAAGGAUGUCCUGCGUAACGAAGGGAUUAUAAAUAGUAUAUCGUGUUUCACUCCUAACUUGAUUAAUUGUUGGCAGACAGUUUUUCAAGUUCGCGCAUAUUUUAGAUGCGCAGUAGAACCGUGACACUGCCAAUAACCAAAUGAAACAAUUUCAUAUACCGCCCAUCAUAAGUAAUUUUACGAAAUUCAAGGGAUUGUAGUUUACGAGAAUAUGCAUGGUAAGCCAUGUCAAUUUAUAUCCUUAAAUAACGGCUGAAAAAUAAUUUUACCGAAGAAAAUUAAAAAAAAUAAAUGUCAAAAAAUUGCAGCCCAAACACAUUUCGCUCAUUUGGACAAAUGUGACUCAUCAUUAAUGAACCAUAUUUACAUAUAAUGAACCAUAUAUAUUUUACGAAGACGACCAAUAUACCUUGGGGCGAUAAAAUUGUGCAAUUUAAUUUGUCGAAAAUUACGACUCAAUAUACUGGUCCAGAAUAACUAGAAUAGAAAAAUGUAAUCAAACAUUCUUUCCAUGUAAAUAGCUAUUUGGUGAAUACGGGACUAUAAUGGCUAAUUUGCUUUCUUAAACUAUUGCUAUAGAGGAUCACAAGUUUAAUAAUUAUUUGUUUAAUAUAUUUAAAAAUUGGUGUAUCUUAUAUAGGCUCCCUAUACUACAAUACACGUGCAACAAUGAUAUAUUAAUUAUGAAGUCUAUGUCCUAUGAACUGUUUUCGAUUUGAACUGUUCAUAUAUCUCUAUAUACUGGUGACAAAAAAACAACAAAACUGAAAUCAACUAGAAAUUAAAGGAUAACAUAAAUGAUCUAAAAAACGCCCAGAAUGUUUAUUAGAUUUUCAAGAACUCAAUAAUUCAUGAGGAAAACACAAAGAAAAAUCAUAAGCGUGUCGUAUCUUUAUAUGUGAUAGAGAUUUCCCUAAUUGAUUUACAUGAACUUUAACUUUGAUUUUCUAGACUUACAAAACGUAUUUUUUGAAAAUAUUUUGCCAAUGAACUAAUAGAUCUAUCGUUUUUGAAGCAAUUUAAAACAUUCGCAGUGCGUGUUUUACCAGACCUAAAGAUACUCAGCUUCGCCUCGUAUCUUCAUAUGUGGUAAACUACUUUUGCUCGUUUAUUAAAGUGUAUAUGACAUGAAAUUUCUUAUUUUCUUAAAUGAAAGAACUC